CUAGUGGCGGACGGGUGAGUAACACGUAAGAAUUUGCCUUUAGGAGGGGGACAACAACUGGAAACGGUUGCUAAUACCCCAUAUGCUUUCGAGUAAAAUGGAUUUCCGCCUAAAGAGAAGCUUGCGGCUGAUUAGCUUGUUGGUAGGGUAAUGGCCUACCAAGGCGACGAUCAGUAUCUGGAUUGAGAGGACGAUCAGACACACUGGAACUGAGACACGGUCCAGACUCCUACGGGAGGCAGCAGUGGGGAAUUUUCCGCAAUGGGCGAAAGCCUGACGGAGCAAUACCGCGUGAGGGAAGAAUGCCUAUGGGUUGUAAACCUCUUUUUUCAGGGAGGAACAAAACGACGUGUACCUGAAGAAUAAGCAUCGGCUAACUCCGUGCCAGCAGCCGCGGUAAGACGGAGGAUGCAAGUGUUAUCCGGAAUCACUGGGCGUAAAGCGUCUGUAGGUGGUUUAAUAAGUCAACUGUUAAAUCUUGACGGCUCAACUUCAAAAUCGCAGUCGAAACUAUUAGACUAGAGUAUAGUAGAGGUAAAGGGAAUUUCCAGUGGAGCGGUGAAAUGCGUAGAUAUUGGAAAGAACACCGAUGGCGAAAGCACUUUACUGGGCUAUUACUAACACUCAGAGACGAAAGCUAGGGUAGCAAAUGGGAUUAGAUACCCCAGUAGUCCUAGCUGUAAACUAUGGAUACUAGAUG
rnacentral:rRNA from 1 species